AAGCUCUGCUGAGCUGCUUUCACUAAGCAGAUGAAACCCAAUCCUGGACACUGGUACCUGAGGGACAGGCAUUUGUCACAUCACUCACUGAACCAGCUCUGUCCAUCAGAAAACACAAUUAACGAGGCAACAAAGCAGAACUCUUUUUCAAAUUCAUGGGAAUUUGCUCUGCAAUUGUUUUUGAUCUUUUUCAGGAGCAAAACAAACAGAUGGCAAGAUCUGCAACUGACAGUGCCAGAACCAUUUGCUUCUUGAUGUUGGAUAUAUUGCAUCCUUUGAUAGUGGUUCCAAAGGAAAGAAAAAGCAAAGAAAAAAACCCACUCUCUGGUGUGUGGACUCGUGUAAAAGUUACUUAUCUGUAAAGUACUCAGGUUAAUGACUAACUUGCAGUACUGCAAGAGUGUGACCUACGAGUAGUCACAGACCAAAACCAGCAAAAACAGAAAGAACAAGAACUGAACCCCAAAAGGAAAUGGGCUGAUACUUGCAUCAGUGCUGCAUUUCGUAAGGCCGGUUCACUGUAAUAGCUCCACAUUACGUUGCUUCUCCCCAAACUCACGAUUUGGCAACCGAACCUCGGGGAACUGUUCUGCUGUCUUCAUGAGAAGUUGUCAAGCUCCCAAAUCUCCAUGGACUGCUCUUUCUCUUCAGAUUGAUUGAUUUUAGUCAUGUUUUUAAGGGAGAAACGAAAGCAACUUUUCAAAAGUGAAAGUAAGUUUUACCUGAAAUUAACAGGCCUUAUUUCCAACAACCUCCCUAAUAAGCAUCUCGAGAGCGUUUCAUAUUCAGACACAUUCCUGAACAUCUUCCUGCAUUUUUGCUCCUGAUUUCGAGGUGCUGCUGCAGAACCCAGGAGCAGAGGAUUUAAUCCUGGGCCCCCUGCUACUCCCUGCCAGUGCAGCGGGAGGAGGAAGCAGAGCAAUUCAAAAACAAGAAUGUAAGAGGCAGGACUGAGACGUGUUGAGAUCGGGGCAAGAGAAGGUUAUGGGAAUGAAAUAAAAUUGGAUGCCAUCUAUUUAAUAUCACCACCUCAUUUCCUGACUCAUUCAGGGCUACAUUCAACCCCACUGAAGGCUUUGGUUUGGGGGCAGAGGGGCAGAAGGAGAAGGGGGGGCUGUCUUCCAUUCCCAGCUG